rnacentral:rRNA from 1 species
GACGAGGGGUCCAAGCGUUGCUCGGAAUCACUGGGCGUAAAGGGUGCGUAGGCGGCCGUGCAAGUCUGGCGUGAAAGCCCCGGGCUCAGCCCGGGAAGUGCGCUCGAAACUGCGCGGCUCGAGUGCCGGAGGGGAGAGUGGAAUUCCCGGUGUAGCGGUGAAAUGCGCAGAUAUCGGGAGGAACACCGAUGGCGAAGGCAGGUCUCUGGGCAUUAACUGACGCUGAGGAGCGAAAGCAUGGGGAGCGAACAGG